rnacentral:antisense_RNA from 1 species
AGCUACACUCCCGAGAGCUCCCACGUGUCAGGGGUGCGCAGACGGUAGGCGCGGGGUGCAGACUCCAGUUAUCAAUUCAGCCAAGCCUAGCGCUGGUAAAGGGUGCGUUUAGCUCGCCCAUCCCUCCUCAAUCCCCACAUAGUCAGUUUCUCGGUCCAAGUUUUACUGGUGCGGCCCAGCCCUACCGAGAGUACCCGAAUACACGUUUGCAGAGGACGCGGGCAUUGGGCCGGAGAUGCCGCCCGCCUCUCCAGGCCUGCCAGUAGGCUGGAGGAUACCGGAGUCCCUGAGGUCACCGGCGGAGGUACGUGGGCUGUCCCUGGGCUUACCUUACAGGGAAACAGGACUGCCGAGGCCACCUUCUCCAUAGCCAGGUUCCUGAUGCUGGGCGUCAGGGCGCCCCUGCACGUCGGGCAGCAGCUCAACUUCUGGCGG